GGGGGUAUAGCUCAGCUGGGUGAGCAACAGACUGAAGUAUCAUGCUAAUAAGAGUGUUAGGUCCCCAGUUCGAUCCUGGGUGCCCCCA
rnacentral:tRNA from 1 species